GAUAUGAGACUCCUGUGAAAGGGUCACUUGACCCACAAAGGGGUCACUGCCCUAAGCCAUCCCAGAAGGAAAGAGGGGAUAAGGGAGGAAGUAGGAGAGGCUGGGUGUCACAUCGUCGCUUUGCAGUGCUCUUGGCUGUCUGGUUCCAGUGGACUGUCAGAGGCUCACUGAACUGGCAGACNCCUGUCUUUAGUCGAGGUCCCGCCCUCAGCUUCCUUUCUCAGAUUUCUCUCCUACCCUGCCCUGCCCCCUGCCUUUCCUACUAAACUUCUCUCCUUCAGCUUCCGCUCGGUUCCCCCUUGCCUCAUUUCUCUUGGGACGCCAUCUGCUGUUCCCAAUCUCACCUGUGCAGAGGACCCUCUUGGGCCAACCUAUAGCCAAGCCAGAGUGACAGUCCAAGCUGUCCUGCCCCUUUUCUGACCUGAGGCAGAAUUAACCACCUCCCUCAGAGAGUGCUGAGGCAAAUCUUGCUGUCUGCGCUCCAACUCUCUCCUGUGUGGUCCCUCUACAUCUAGCUCCCAGGCUUCCCCCUCAGGAGAGGCCCUCCUAGCAGCCUUAGAGGACAGAACAACCACCACCUGGGUCAUCAGAAGCCAUGCCUGGAAGUCCCAGAGGGAGUGAGAGGAAGAAAUGCCAGGGUCCCGGGCUUUCUGGGGAAGCAGAGAGAGGACUGGUUAAAAUAAAGAUGGGAGGUAGGGUCCGCAGCCCAGCUCGUUUGGAAACCACACUGGUGCAAGCUGAGAGGCCCCAGGAAUGGCAUGAUCUUCAAACCCUUCUGGAAUUUAGACCGCACAUCCUUGGACAUUGUGAGCCAGGAGAUGGUGCUCCUGUGUGGAGGUGGACACGAGGGAAGCAGGGCAGAAAGUCGCCCCUACCUGAAGCAUCCAGAGUCUCUGCUGGACUCAGUAGGGUCUCUGCAUUAGUUCUAGGAGCAAAUCUUGUCUGCUGAAUACUUGUGAGGAGGAUCCUGUCCUCUCCUUCCCUCAUUCUCUUCCAACCAGCCAGGACCAGCAAGCCAAGUGCAGGCUCUCGGAGCCCGUGUCCCAUUUCGAAGUCUGUUUACUCUGCAAAAUUAAUCCCUUGGAUGCCUGGAGAAACAGGACUCAUAUUAAACAAAGACCUGACUCUGGAUUCUGCACACUAAGCUCUGCGGUGGAAGCUUUUAGUGUAUGCAGUCAGGAAAACAAUGCCCCAGGCUCAGCUUGUGCAUCCUCUGUGCGUGACCUCUGAGGUAUGGGGGCACAGCCUUCAAUACAUCAUAGUAAUGGGUCACAUGCAUGCCUUCCAGAUGUGACGCUACAACCACAGUGGAGAAAGAGACCCAGUGGUAGUGGAGAAAGAGACCCAGUGGUAGUUUGGAAUAAGUGGCUAGGAUCAAACAACCAUCACUGUUGAACAAGAUCGUAUGUGUGUGUGUGUGUGUGUGUGUGUGUGUGUGUUCAUUUGUGUGUAUGUAUAUGUAUGUGUGUCUGUCUUUGUGUGUAUGUGUGUGUGUGUGUGGUUUUUUAAAAGAAUUAUUUAUUAUAUAUAAGUACACUGUAGCUGUCUUCAGACACACCAGAAGAGGGCAUCAGCUCUCAUUACAGAUGGUUGUGAGCCACCAUGCAGUUGCUGGGAAUUGAACUCAGGACCUCUGGAAGAGCAAUCAGUGCUCUUAACCACUUUGCCAUCUCUCCAACCCCCUUUGUGUGCAUGCCUCUCUCUCUCUCUCUCUCUCUCUCUCUCUCUCUCUCUCUCUCUCUCUGUGUGUGUGUGUGUGUGUUUGUCUCUACCAAGGUCUUCCUAGGAAGCCUGUGAAGCCACUAAGUACUGGGAUGUAGCUUGGUCGUUGGAGCACUUGCACAGAGGAGGCCCUGAGUUUGAUCCCUAGCACUGCACAAACCAGACAAAGUGGCACAGGCCUGUGAUCCUAGCACUCAGUCACUUAAGAAUUGGGGGGGGCAGGAUGAUCAAGAGAUUGAGGCUGUGGUGGUUUGAAUGAGAAUGACCCCCCAUAGGCUCAUCUGAAUGCUUGGUCUACAGCUGGUGGAACCAUUUGGGAAGGAUUAGGGGGCGUGGCCUUUCUGCAGAAGGUGCAUUACUGAAGGUGAGCAUAGAGGUUUCCAAAGCCCACGUCAUCCUCAGUUAGCUCUUUGCCUCCUGGCCGUCUUAACAUGUGAGCUCCUGUGCACACCUGCGUGUUCCCUUCCUUGCUCCAUGACUUGGUGAUCGUGGACUCUCUCUCUGAAGUUGUAAGCCAGUCCCCAGUAAACUCUUUCUUCUAUAAGUUGCCUUGGCGAUGGCGUCUCUUCACAAUAAUAGAAAGGUCACUAAGACAAUAGUCAUUCUCACACACAGUGAGUUUGAGACCAGUCUAGGCGUCACGAGAGACAGUAUCUCAACACAGAACGGGUGAACGAGUAGUACCAGCAAAAUAAAGACCACUGGAAGGCCACGUGGUACUGCGGUCACAAAUACUCUGAUGUGCAGUGAGCAUAGGUAGCAUGUGGGAUAUGAAUGCCCCUGGGCUCUUGGCCUGCUCUGCAUGCAUCUGUGGAGGUUUGAAUGAAAAUGGCCCCCAUAGCCUCAUAGAGAAUGGCACUGUUAGGAGGUGUGGUCUUGUUGAAGGACUUGUGUCACUGGGGGUGGGCUUUGAGGUUUUGCUUUUAAGUGAUCAAGCCAGACCCAGAGUCUCUCUUGCUCUGUCUUCAGUUCCGGAUGUAGAACUCUCAAUUCCCCCAGCACCAUGUUUGCCUGUGCCUAGCCAAGCUUCCCGCCAUGAUCAUGCUGGACUAAACCUCUGUAAGCCAGCCCCAAUUAAAUGUUUUUCUUUAUAAGAGUUUUAGUGGUCAUGGUGCCACUUCAUGCAAUAAAUCCCUCAGAUAACUACUAUGACCCAGGUCAUCUUCUCUUUCCCUGUUUGUGUCAGCAGUGAAUUGGAACUAGGGUAAGGGCUGUAUGUUAAGGUCGAACUCCAGAACCUCAAAAUGUGGCUGUUUAGAGAUAGAGCUUUCCGAGUGUUGACUUAGUUAUAAUAAGACAACCAGGGCAAGCCAGAACUCAUGGGUACUUUUACAGGAGGAGGAAGUUUUUUUCACACAGAGAGACACCAAGUAUGCAUGUGAGGACACAGUGAAGGACUGUCCCCAAGCCUGGGAAGGAAGCCUGUGCUGGUUAGACUAUAUUGUCAGUUUAACCUAACCUAGAGCCACCUGGGAAAUACAUCAGAUUGGCCUAUGACCAUGAGAGAUUGUCUUGAUUGACAAUUGGGUAAGCAAGGGCCAAGCCCACCAUGGGCAGCACCAUCCCCUAGGCAUGUGGGUCUUGGCUGAAUCAGAAAGGUGGCUGGGCAUGAGCUAAAAGAAGAAGGCAGCGGGCCAUAUUCUUCCAUGAUUCCUACCCUGAAUUCCCUUCAUGAUGGACUGUGACCUAGAAGUGUAAACUGAAAUAAACCCUUACCUCCUCAA
rnacentral:sRNA from 1 species